rnacentral:lncRNA from 1 species
GCAGAAGCACAGACCGCAGCACCGCACUGAUGGAGGAGCUGCUGGGGUAGGGAGGCCCCUGGGAAGGCCAGGCCACGCAUCACUACAGAGACUUGCAGAGGUAAUUUUCUCCCUGGUGAAUAUAUCGGAGGCUUUUGCAAACCACCUCCCAGUGACUGCGAUGAAGUGGUUUCACUCCUGGCAGCAAGGAGCAAGCCCAGCAGUGGUGCUGGCUUGUUGUUCUGUGUCUCUCUGAGCCCCACACACCUGAAAGCCUGCAACCUGGCGUGGUCCCUCCUCUGAGGCAUUUCACAUGAAGCUAGGAGAUAAUAUUCUCUCCCAGGAGUUCCCAAUGGAAAGGCUUACACAGCUGCCAACUCUGCUAAGAGUUGCCUCUCACCUUGAUAGUCAAAUCAAGAUUC